AGAGAGAGAGAGAGAGAGAGAGAGAGAGAGAGAGAGAGGGAGAGACUGACCCAACCAUGGAACAUAACUGGUAUCUACUUAAAAAAAAAAAAAAAAGAAUCCUGUGAUUGACUUGUUUGCUGCCUGAGUAAUAUUUACAAGCCAAACUUUGGAUUCUGAUAUUGUUUCUACAAUGAUAUUUUGUAUGAAGCAAAGUCCUUGGAUUAAAAUAAAAACUUAGCAAAAAAAAAAAAAUAAAAAACAAAACCCCUGCCAUGCUGCCUGUGGUACAUGGGCAUGAGUCUUGACGCACCUAGUGGGCGGGGCACCCUGCCAGGAAGGCGCAGGAGAAAGUGCGACAUUCUGGACCUGCCUAUGUAAGUGUGGCUGGGUUAGGGUGGGCGGGGAUCCUGGCCUCCACAGGGUGUGGACUGUCCUUCCCAGGGGCCUCCAGGCCCACUUCGGAUCUCCACAUAUCGGUGAGUGGACACCUAUUGUCACAGGCACAGGUGGAGAGCAUCCUGCAACUCCCAGAGACCUGGGGGCUUCGCUCCUGAGCUGCAGUUUCUCCUCAUAGUGGUCUCUGGUUCUUACGUCCAAUUUCUUAAACCCAGGCUCCUGAAACAGGUGGUUUUCUUGACUGCUUUUUCUUCUCUCUUUUCCCACUCCUGGUGAUAGCAGAGAUAAAUAUAGGCAUUUGUCAGUUGAAGGCCUGGGAACACAUUUCAUCCAGUAACUACUGAGGUGGUGGAAGAAGCUAAGCUCCAUUCUCAUUUGUGCACAGGUGGUUUGACAUUUUGAAUGGGGGAAAGUAGGGAGGGGAAGGGUUUGAGUUCAAGAGAGUCAACAAGGUAGAGAGGCAGAGGGUCAGUGUGUCACCAAAGGGAUCGAGGAGGCACCCCUGUGAGGACAGGGGACCUCAUCUUAGCCUGGAUAUGUCAGAGGUGAGACACAAGCAAAGGUCUUAAGGGCAGCAAAGGUGUAUGCACCCCAAGGCAGAGUGUAUUGCCUGCCCCUCAGGGAGGAGACUGAGGCACGCCAAAGGUGAGCUCCCUGUGUGUGUGACUUUCCAGGGGAGAAAAGUGCAGGUCCUUAGGCUUCUUCAGAAUUCAGUCUCACAACAGUCACACUGCAUUGAGUUCAGGAUGUUCCUCCUCUGUUGAAACAGUCUAGCCAUAAGUCAUCUGGGGGCGUGUUGUGCAAUUCUUCGAACCUGGAGACUUGUACAUUAAUAUGUUCUAUUUGUUGCAAGCAUGCACUGAAAGUUUCGUUCAUCUUACCAAAGGUCUCCAUCUACUAGAGCCUCUCCUUUUCCCUCAGAGCCCACCUGUCUCAGUACAUAGGCAGUUAGGCCAGCUGUUGCUGAUAGUUGCCUGAGUAAGGAUUCUAGCUUCUUCAAGCAUGGGGAGAUACCCCAUCCCCUUCUCAAUCACAUUCUCAGAGGCCCUUCUGUGUUGCAAGAGAAACAUAUUUUCAGUUGCAAGCCUUUUUUAGUAAAUACUUCAAGAAGGGGAGGUCAGGGCCGGUCAUCUGGUAUGGGUUAGAACAUGGUAAGUUUUCCUGGCAAUGUUGAGCUUUCCUGAGGCAAAUGUUUUUUUUUGUUUUGUUUUGUUUUUUUUUUUUUCCUGAGGCAAAUGUUUUAAUGGAGGUGGUGGAGGUGGAAAUGUUGCUGGGGUCACCCUAAGCUACUUGAGCCUGGUAGGUUCACUUGGUGAAAACUCUUAGUGCCAGGGUUUGGGCCCAGUUGUCAUGUGCUCAGAGUUCUGCACUUCUCCUUGGGUCCCUAUGCCUUUAAGUGAUCUCUAGUGGUUGUUUACGAAGAAGAAAUGCAGUUCCAGGUGGUUUCACACAUUUUCUCUUCAGCAAUUUUUCUCCGUAGCAUCAUGCAUUCUGGGGUGUUGCAGUCUCACCCAUCCAAUCCAGCCAAUUCCCUCUAUUCUCAUAGGAAAAAUUAGUAAAGACAUUUCCAUAUUUAUUCAGCUUGUUCUGUUAAGUAGAAGAGUUAAGUGUGGCGACGGCUUAGGAGAGUCUGACAGUGAAGCUCCGAGUGAAGGUAGUUUUGCACAGAAAUGACACUGCCCUCCCCACAGGCUCCCGCUCUGGCCGACAUGCAGAGCAGAGCUUUGCGCCUGUUCUAGAUCACAGAAGACACCUGCUGCUGUGGGGUCCCUCAGAUGGUGAGCCAAGACACUCAGAGCCAUGGCCAGUGACAUUCCAGCUGCCACCCAGGGCGUUUGUUGGGCUGCCACUGCCGUCUUCGAGCCCAGCAGGAGGAGUUGCAGCUGGAUGCUCUCGGGACUUGACACUGGGCCUCCCUCCACAGUAAUAGUCUGUUUUUCUUUAUUUUUGUAGAAAUUUCUCCUCAUUAAAUGGUGACUGCCAGCACCAUCUAAGAAAUACCCUCUGUGACCAAGUCCCGGCACAAUUCAGUUUAUCCCUGAUAAGUAAAAAAUAACCAAUUGAGAAAAUGGACUUGACAUUUUCAAAGAAAAGAAUAUCUUCUCUUGAACAAGACAGGAAAAUGACAGAGAUUCUCUGCCUGGUCAAACUUCUAUCAGGUUCCAAACACUCUCCUGGGCCCAUCUGUGCGCGUCCGCCCUUCCUUGUACAAUCCAGUGCUCCGGAGCACCAGCACAAGCUCCUCCUCAUACCUUGUCUUCCUCCCUUUCUGGUUGGGUCUCUUGUCUUGACGGUCCCUGGUGAUGGCUGCUCACCCUCAUUCAGACAAGAGUGCUAUGGGGUCAAUUUGGUCAGAGGCUCUCUCACGUUUCUGAUUGGUCAUCUCCACAGACCCCAUUACAGAGGUCUCUAUAUCUAUGUGAGAAUCCUGAAAACAGCUGCUCCCCUGCUUUAAAAAACAUCGCUGGGUGCUGUUUCUAACACUGCAAGACAAGGGAUAGCACAGGUUGCCAGCAAACACCAGAAGCUGGAAGAGGAAGGAGGGACCCUUCCCACAGUUUUCAAAGGGAGAUUAACCCUGCCAACACCUUGAUUUUAGAAUUCUGGCCUCCGAGUUGUGAGACAGUGUGCGUGUGUUUUAAGUGACACGUGUUUCAGGGCUUUGUUGCUGCCCUGGGAAACAAACACGCUGGCUGUCCCUGAACUCAGAUAUGGUCCUCCUCCCAGUCUUCCUCGUUAGUCAUUCCAACACUGAGUGAGAGGAAUGGUGGGAAGAUACUGACCCUGAUGACAGGGAGGUGCCAAGGGGAGUGGGCUUGGCACUGGAGGGCAGAGCUGGAAGACCCAGGGCAGCUGGGCUCAGGCAAGGUCAGGGUGGUGGGAAGAGCAGAGUCAGGUCCAUGGAACCAACUUGAUUUUAAGCACCCCAGCUGCCUUCUGAGUCUUGGCCCUUCCGUGCUGUGCCCUGGGACAUUUCAGACUGAGCGCCUUGCUCUCACCUCAGGGAUGAGCAUCAGGUCCAGCCCAGAAGCUGAGCUCUUCCUCCAUGGGCAGCAAAGUCCUGAGUGCCAAACAUCACCUCCUUCUCCACACCCUCCACUGCUCAACUUGUCUUCUGAGGAAAACUUCAGCACAUUUCAGUCCUGGCUCUGCUGGGGGGCGGGUUGGCACUGAUUCCAGCCCCCUCCAGCAGCACAGGAAGGGCUGCCAUGGGAGGAAGGAAGGCCCCUGUCCAGGCUGCAGGGGUGGCCCCGCAGUCCUCCCUGACUUGGGCUGGAUCUCAACUGAGUGUGUGUUUUAAGAAAUACAGGAUCGCUCCAUUUCUUCUCCUAAUCUUUUUAAGCGAAGAAGGUGUAUUUUUUCUCUUUCUAUAGAAGGAGUGUUAGAAGCUAGGAUUCCCUUGGAGGAAGGGGUGCAUUCCUUCCCUUACUGGCACCAGUUGUCAUGAAUGUAUGGACACGCAUGUGCAAGCACACAUGCAUACACAUACUCUCCCCAACUGUUACACAUGCCACGACAUACCAUGCACCUGUGUGUGCAUAACACACACACACACACACACACACUGCUCCCCACUUACACACAAAGGACACGAGACACAGUCAAGACCUAGCUUCUAACACUCCUAGGUGUCUAGAAUCUGAAGCUGCUAGAAGGCCCCGGGCAGCAUGCUGUCAGGGGUUAGCUUUAUCCUUAGCACCUGUACCCUGGUUCAGACUGCUGUGAGCACAGGGCCUAGGGAUGGGGGUGCGCUGAGAGGCCUGGGAGACUGGGUCCUGUGUGGAUGCCAGGCUGGCACAUGGAGGGAAGAUGGAGUGUUCUGGCACAGGUGCCGCUUGGCCUCUGUGUGGGAGGCAGGAGAGCUUCCUGGAGGAAGAGGAAGGUAGGCCUGCUGAGGAUGAGGUUUCUGCCCCAGCAGGGGUCCUGAACCUGCUGCCCAGCCCUUCCCUUCUCCCUGUGCUCAGUUCCAGACCUGGAUAGGGGCUCAUAGAGCCAGCCCACAGCUGAUCCAGGACCUGUCAAUGGUACUCCAUCAGGGCUUUAUAAGGGCACAGUUCUCUCUGUAACACCAAACAAACAAUUUAAGAAAAUCCAGGCUCAGGCUGUGGUUGCUCCCUGUAGAAGGGGAUGAAGUAAGCAGUUGAGUUGGGGGAAUGAGGAUGCAGCAUAAGGUCCUCCAGGCUAAUUGGAGGUGGAUCGCAGCAGCUGCCUCCAGGUCCUCCCUGGCAGGCAUGGCACGGGGGGCUCCUGGAGUUGCCUCCAGGUCUGGCUGUCCUUCCCCAGGAGGCUCUCGUGAGCCAAGAGGCAGACUGGGGCCUUUGCACCUUUCAGAGUUUAUCAUCAAGAAUAAGGCUAGGCUAGGUGGGCCUUGGGGAGCUCAGAGACCCCAGGGCCUCGGUGGGUCUGAUAUCCAUUCACUUGUUGAAGGACAUCUUGAUUCCUUGAGAAUUUAGCCAUUAUGAACAGAACUUCUGUAUGUAAUUUCAUGCUGUAUUUCGACAGAUAUUUUCAAGACAUAUUUUCAAAGCAGUGUCUAAAUUCUUAAGAUCAUAGUUCAUAUCUAUCUUUGGAAAAACCUAUUAAACUUUAAAAAAGUGAUAAACUAUUAUGCAUUCCACCAGCAAUGAAUGAAUUCUUGUUCCAUAUACCACAGCUGAUACUGUAUUUAAAAGGCUUUAGCCACUUAAUACGUGGGCAGUGCCAUCAGAGCCGUGUGUUUUGUUUCAGCUGAUGCCGAGCAACUUUCUAUACUUCUUUGCCAUUUGCAUAUCUUCUUUGAUGAGUUAUCUCUUCAGAUAUUUUACCUGUUUUUAAUUAUAUUGUUAUUAUUGAUUUUCUUAGUAUAGUUAGGAUUUUAGUCUACUUUAGGUAUGAAUUUUCCAAACAUUUUCCCAUGUUAUGGCUCAUAUUUUUCUUCCUUAAAUGUGAUUUUUCACAGAAUAGAAAUUUUCAUAUGUUUAAAUAUGUUGGUACUAGGCAUUGAACUGAGGGGUGCUAUACAACUGAGCUCCAUCCCCAACCCCGUUUACAUUUUUUUUUAAAUUUUGAAAUAGGGCCCUACUAAGUUGCCCAGGCUGGCUUCAAACUUGCAAUCCUCCUGCCUCAGACUUCUGGGUCUCUGGUGAGACAGACAUAUGCCACUGUACUUGGUGAUAUUCAAUUUUAAUAAAGUUCACAUUAACAGUUUUUCUUUCAUGGAUUUUUUGAGCUGUAUUUAAAAACUCAUAAUGAAAUAUGUGAAUAUGUGGUCAUGCAUAUUUUCUUAUAUGAUUUUUUACAGCUGCACAAUUGACAUGUAAGCCUGUGGACUAUUCUGAGUUCAGAGAUUCAGAAACACUGGGACACAGGUUUGUCUGUGAUCACACCGAAACUGCAGAUCAAGUUUGAGAGAAUUUCAUUUUAAUUGUGGAAAACUGAAGAAGGAAUGUUUCUGCAUUUAUUUAUGCUUUGUUUGAUUUCUUUCCAUUGUUUCAGGGUUUUCUGAAAAUAUAAGACAUUUUAAAAUUUC